rnacentral:sRNA from 1 species
GCCGGGCGAGUUUUACCGAUCUGUGUUCCGCGGCCCGGCCGCGGCUGAGUCUUCCCAGGGUCAGGGUCGGGCGCUUUGCUGAGUCCCUUUGUGGCCGCCAUGGACAAUUCCGGGAAGGAAGCGGAGGCGAUGGCGCUGUUGGCCGAGGCGGAGCGCAAAGUGAAGAACUCGCAGUCCUUCUUCUCUGGCCUCUUUGGUCCCUUUUAGAUCCCCAGAGGUCUUUCUGAAUUGGACAAAACCUACAGACCCCACUCCCCAGAGGAGUGCUUAUGGACCCCACUGUUUACAUGUCAGAAGGAGGGGUUGGACUCCCUGAAAGCCCAGCCACAGACCUGAGACAAAGAGCCUCUGUCCAGAUGCCUCCCCACGGAGGGAGUUUGGAGUCCCAUCCAGACCGUGAGCCCCUUGAGAGGAGCCCAGCCCCGGCGCUACUUGGUAGCACCCUCUUCUCAGGCGAACAUGGCCUGGGUGACCAUGGAGACCCCCACGGUGACCAGGAACUUUCAGAUGCCCAGG